rnacentral:rRNA from 1 species
CUCACGGAACUCUUCGGAGGGAAGUGAAGGGAAUGAGCGGCGGACGGGUGAGUAACACGUAAGGAACCUGCCCCAAGGAUUGGGAUAACUCCGAGAAAUCGGAGCUAAUACCGAAUAGUUCUUCAGACCGCAUGGUCUGAUGAUGAAAGGCGCUCCGGCGUCACCUUGGGAUGGCCUUGCGGUGCAUUAGCUAGUUGGUGGGGUAAUGGCCCACCAAGGCGACGAUGCAUAGCCGACCUGAGAGGGUGAUCGGCCACACUGGGACUGAGACACGGCCCAGACUCCUACGGGAGGCAGCAGUAGGGAAUCUUCCACAAUGGACGAAAGUCUGAUGGAGCAACGCCGCGUGAGUGAUGAAGGUUUUCGGAUCGUAAAACUCUGUUGUAAGGGAAGAACAGGUACGAGAGGGAAUGCUCGUACCUUGACGGUACCUUGCGAGAAAGCCACGGCUAACUACGUGCCAGCAGCCGCGGUAAUACGUAGGUGGCAAGCGUUGUCCGGAAUUAUUGGGCGUAAAGCGCGCGCAGGCGGCCUUUUAAGUCUGAUGUGAAAGCCUCCGGCUCAACCGGGGAGGGUCAUUGGAAACUGGAAGGCUUGAGUACAGAAGAGAAGAGUGGAAUUCCAUGUGUAGCGGUGAAAUGCGUAGAGAUGUGGAGGAACACCAGUGGCGAAGGCGACUCUUUGGUCUGUAACUGACGCUGAGGCGCGAAAGCGUGGGGAGCAAACAGGAUUAGAUACCCAGGUAGUCCACGCCGUAAACGAUGAGUGCUAGGUGUUGGGGGGUUUCCGCCCCUCAGUGCUGAAGCUAACGCAUUAAGCACUCCGCCUGGGGAGUACGGCCGCAAGGCUGAAACUCAAAGGAAUUGACGGGGACCCGCACGAGCGGUGGAG